UAAUUGGAGAGUUUGAUCCUGGCUCAGAUUGAACGCUGGCGGCAUGCCUAACACAUGCAAGUCGAGCGGGGUGUAGCAAUACAUCCAGCGGCGGACGGGUGAGGAAUACGUAGGAAUUUGCCUUAGAGCGGGGGAUAGCCCAGGGAAACUUGGAGUAAUACCGCAUGAUGUCGAAAGACCAAAGCAGGGGACCGCAAGGCCUUGCACUCUAAGAGAAGCCUACGUCUGAUUAGCUAGUUGGUGAGGUAAUGGCUCACCAAGGCGACGAUCAGUAACUGGUCUGAGAGGACGAUCAGUCACACUGGAACUGAGACACGGUCCAGACUCCUACGGGAGGCAGCAGUGGGGAAUAUUGGACAAUGGGCGCAAGCCUGAUCCAGCAAUGCCGCGUGUGUGAAGAAGGCCUUCGGGUUGUAAAGCACUUUAAGCAGGGAAGAAAAAACUCGGACUAACAUUUCGAGUCUUGACGGUACCUGAAGAAUAAGCACCGGCUAACUCUGUGCCAGCAGCCGCGGUAAUACAGAGGGUGCGAGCGUUAAUCGGAUUUACUGGGCGUAAAGGGUGUGUAGGUGGUUUGACAAGUCGGUUGUGAAAUCCCCGGGCUUAACCUGGGAACUGCUUCCGAGACUGUUUGACUAGAGUACGGUAGAGGGCGGUGGAAUUUCCGGUGUAGCGGUGAAAUGCGUAGAUAUCGGAAGGAACACCAAUGGCGAAGGCAGCCGCCUGGGCCUGUACUGACACUGAAACACGAAAGCGUGGGGAUCAAACAGGAUUAGAUACCCUGGUAGUCCACGCCGUAAACGAUGGACACUUGACGUCGGCAUGCUCUGCGUGUCGGUGUCGUAGCUAACGCGAUAAGUGUCCCGCCUGGGGAGUACGGCCGCAAGGUUGAAACUCAAAGGAAUUGACGGGGGCCCGCACAAGCGG
rnacentral:rRNA from 1 species